UCCACCACCUUGGUCUACAGAGUCCUCCCAUUCACCAUCCAGCAUUCCGUUUCUCCAGCUUCUGACUGCCAGCCCUAGCGCCGGUGCGAGUUAUGAUUACGUUCCAGACAAGUAUCGCACCAGCACACUGGUAGAUAGCCCACUUGCAUCGAUGCGUUAAUCUAGAACCUGUCACUCGUUAGCCGGGUUACACCGCAGCACCAUUGUGCGACGGUAGGAUACGGCUACAAACAGCACAAUGCGGGCGAACCACGCGCUGGCGGUAUGCAAGCGGUUGGGGGGGUCCCAUUGUUUGUCUUGUCUCUGUGCAAUGUGUCUCAUCUUGUCUCCAAUUACGUCCCAAUCUCCACCUCCGCAGACCCGCAACCUUCAUCGUCGACUAGUAGGCAGGUGCAGUAGAGAGGAGGGUAACGGAGCGUUUUACCAUACUAGGACACCGUUAAUGCCUCGUUGGGCUACUUGUGGCCAGCACGAGUACUAUCGGUGCAUUGAGCCAUAACGACUGAGCUAACCACGAGACUUUUCAGUCACCUGCCUUGACUCCAGUGUCAGUUAGCCGCGAGGUGGAGGAGACAAUGCAACUUAGCCGGUUAGAGAGGGGAAUCAAAUGCCGAGGGGUUCCUCUAUACACAUGGAGAAGAGUAAGAGGACGGAUAUAAAUGCAAGUACCAGUGUACAGUUGUGUAGACUGUCAUUUUCCUCCUCAUGAUACUACAGUAUGUACAAUCACCGGUACUGUACUUCGGUUUGACAGUUCCUGGUCUGGGUCUACUCAUACCAAUGUUGCAAGGAAGAUUCCGGAAGCGUGCAUAUUGUAUCGACAAAAAUGUCUGUUAUAGGCGGCAACAAAAACGGUACCGUCGGUAGCAGCAGACAUUCUGAGCUGAAUGGUGUAAUUUUCUCUACAUAUCACCAUAGUAAUUAUUGGUU
rnacentral:misc_RNA from 1 species